CUUGCUUCCCUCCUUGGCUCCUCCACCCCGUCUUCCUGAGACGAAUGUUUGCCGUGUGGGAAGGAUUGAGAUCCCACCUCAAUCCGUCCGCUACCCGGGACCGAUUGAUAUUACUGAGGACCAUAUUGCCGACGCGCCAGAGGGUUUCAGACAAGCGCAGGAGUCUUUGCCUGAUGUUUUUGAGCCGCCUACCCGCCCGAAGAUGAUGGGAUUCAUGAAGCUAGUUG